UGGGGAAUAUUGCACAAUGGGCGCAAGCCUGAUGCAGCCAUGCCGCGUGUGUGAAGAAGGCCUUCGGGUUGUAAAGCACUUUCAGCGAGGAGGAAGGUGGUGAGCUUAAUACGCUCAUCAAUUGACGUUACUCGCAGAAGAAGCACCGGCUAACUCCGUGCCAGCAGCCGCGGUAAUACGGAGGGUGCAAGCGUUAAUCGGAAUUACUGGGCGUAAAGCGCNCGCAGGCGGUUUGUUAAGUCAGAUGUGAAAUCCCCGGGCUCAACCUGGGAACUGCAUUUGAAACUGGCAAGCUAGAGUCUCGUAGAGGGGGGUAGAAUUCCAGGUGUAGCGGUGAAAUGCGUAGAGAUCUGGAGGAAUACCGGUGGCGAAGGCGGCCCCCUGGACGAAGACUGACGCUCAGGUGCGAAAGCGUGGGGCAGCAAACAGGAUUAGAUACCCUGGUAGUCCAGCGCUGUAAAACGAUGUCGAUUUGGAGGUUGUGCCCUUGAGGCGUGGNUUCCGAGCUAACGCGUUAAAUCGACCGCCUGGGGAGUACGGCCGCAAGGUUAAAAACUCAAAGG
rnacentral:rRNA from 1 species